GACGAACGCUGGCGGCGUGCUUAACACAUGCCAGUCGAACGGAAAGGCCCUGCUUUUGUGGGGUGCUCGAGUGGCGAACGGGUGAGUAACACGUGAGUAACCUGCCCUUGACUUUGGGAUAACUUCAGGAAACUGGGGCUAAUACCGGAUAGGAGCUCCUGCUGCAUGGUGGGGGUUGGAAAGUUUCGGCGGUUGGGGAUGGACUCGCGGCUUAUCAGCUUGUUGGUGGGGUAGUGGCUUACCAAGGCUUUGACGGGUAGCCGGCCUGUGAGGGUGACCGGCCACAUUGGGACUGAGAUACGGACCAGACUCCUACGGGAGGCAGCGGUGGGGAAUAUUGCACAAUGGGCGGAAGCCUGAUGCAGCAACGCCGCGUGCGGGAUGACGGCCUUCGGGUUGUAAACCGCUUUCGCCUGUGACGAAGCGUGAGUGACGGUAAUGGGUAAAGAAGCACCGGCUAACUACGUG
rnacentral:rRNA from 1 species